rnacentral:rRNA from 1 species
ACGAACGCUGGCGGCAUGCCUCACACAUGCCAGUCGAACGAGACCUUCGGGUCUAGUGGCGCACGGGUGCGUAACGCGUGGGAACCUGCCCUUAGGUUCGGAAUAACUCCCCGAAGGGGGUGCUAAUGCCGGAUAAUGUCUUCGGACCAAAGAUUUAUCGCCUUUGGAUGGGCCCGCGUUGGAUUAGCUAGUUGGUAGGGUAAAAGCCAACCAAGGCGACGAUCCAUAGCUGGUCUGAGAGGAUGAUCAGCCACACUGGGACUGAGACACGGCCCAGACUCCUACGGGAGGCAGCAGUGGGGAAUAUUGGACAAUGGGCGAAAGCCUGAUCCAGCAAUGCCGCGUGAGUGAUGAAGGCCUUAGGGUUGUAAAGCUCUUUUACCCGGGAUGAUAAUGACAGUACCGGGAGAAUAAGCUCCGGCUAACUCCGUG